rnacentral:tRNA from 1 species
GGACCCGUAGCUCAGCCAGGAUAGAGCGCCGGACUCCUAAGCCGGUGGUCGCGGGUUCGAAUCCCGUCGGGUCCG